UACGUAGGGUGCGAGGCGUUGCCCGGAUUUAUUGGGCGUAAAGGGCGCGUAGGCGGCUCUGCACGUCCGUUGUGAAAUCGCCCGGCUCAACUGGGCGGGGUCAGCGGAUACGGCAGAGCUCGAGCAAGCUAGGGGGCAAUGGAAUUCCCGGUGGUAGUGGUGGAAUGCGUAGAUAUCGGGAGGAACACCAGUGGCGAAGGGCGGUUGC
rnacentral:rRNA from 1 species